rnacentral:rRNA from 1 species
GACGAACGCUGGCGGCGUGCUUAACACAUGCAAGUCGAACGGAAAGGCCCUGCUUUUGUGGGGUGCUCGAGUGGCGAACGGGUGAGUAACACGUGAGUAACCUGCCCUUGACUUUGGGAUAACUUCAGGAAACUGGGGCUAAUACCGGAUAGGAGCUCCUGCUGCAUGGUGGGGGUUGGAAAGUUUCGGCGGUUGGGGAUGGACUCGCGGCUUAUCAGCUUGUUGGUGGGGUAGUGGCUUACCAAGGCUUUGACGGGUAGCCGGCCUGAGAGGGUGACCGGCCACAUUGGGACUGAGAUACGGCCCAGACUCCUAAGGGAGGAAGCAGUGGGGAAUAUUGCACAAUGGGCGGAAGACUGAUGCAGCAACGCCGCGUGCGGGAUGACGGCCUUCGGGUUGUAAACCGCUUUCGCCUGUGACGAAGCGUGAGUGACGGUAAUGGGUAAAGAAGCACCGGCUAACUACGUG